UGUAUUCUGGUGCAUUUUAACAUGUGGUUUGAUACUUUUAUCAAGCUAUAGCAAGCGAAGAAAUAUGGGUCCAUUUAGGGCAUUUCCCCCAG